UACGUAGGGUCCGAGCGUUGUCCGGAAUUACUGGGCGUAAAGCGUGCGCAGGCGGCCUUCCAAGCGCCACGUGAAAGCCCCGGGCUCAACCCGGGAGGGUCGUGGCGAACUGGGAGACUUGAGGCCGGUAGAGGUGGGUGGAACUCCUGGUGGAGUGGUGAAAUGCGUAGAGAUCAGGAAGAACACCCGUGGCGAAGGCGGCCCACUGGGCCGGUACUGACGCUGAGGCACGAAGGCGUGGGGAGCGAACGGG
rnacentral:rRNA from 1 species